GACGAACCGUGCGAACGUUGUUCGGAAUCACUGGGCUUAAAGGGCGCGUAGGCGGCUCCGCAAGUCGGGGGUGAAAUCCCACAGCUUAACUGUGGAAGUGCCUCCGAUACUGCGGGGCUCGAGUGAGGUAGGGGUCGAGGGAACUUCUGGUGGAGCGGUGAAAUGCGUUGAUAUCAGAAGGAACGCCGGUGGCGAAAGCGCUCGACUGGACCUCUUCUGACGCUGAGGCGCGAAAGCCAGGGGAGCGAACGGG
rnacentral:rRNA from 1 species